rnacentral:tmRNA from 1 species
GGGGUUGACUGGUUUCGACAGCAAGACCAAUGGGUAAGUAAGCAUGCAGAGAACCGUAGCGCGAUCUCUAUAAUCCCUUGCUACAAAAUUUUAACUGGCAACGAAGAGUUCGCUCUUGCAGCUUAAU